GRKMAUYSRCHAAGGAGUGUGUAACAACUCACCUGCCGAAUGAAUUAGCCCUGAAAAUGGAUGGCGCUGAAGCGGGUAGCCGACACCACGCCGUCUGGACAAAGUGGUCUUUCAGAUGAGUAGGAGGGCGUGGCGGUUGUAUCGAAGCGUGGAUGCGAAUCUGCGUGGAACAGCCGCUAGUGCAGAUCUUGGUGGUAGUAGCAAAUAUUCAAGCGAGAUCCUUGAAGGGCGAAGCGGGGAAGGGUUCCACGCGAACAUUGAUUGGGCGUGGGUGAGUCGUUCCUAAGCCGCGUGGCAAUAGCUAAUUACCGGCGAAAGGGAAGCAGGUUGACAUUCCUGCACACGGAUGUGGAGACGGCGACGAUACAUGAGGCGAUCACGCUGGCGGUGGCGCUGGGCAGAGUUGUCUUUUCUGUUUGACCAUUGAAUACUUGCUGUGUGGAAUCCGCUUGUCGGGAGAAACACGCAGGUACGGGCAGAGCGCCGGGGCUUUUCCGGCGUCCAGCUCGCCACCGACGGCCCUUGAAAAAUUGCCUGCUGAACAACACUUGUGUUGUGAGAUCCACGCCGUGGCGUACCGAUAACCGCAUCAGGUCCCCAAGGUGAACAGCCUCUGCUCAGUAUGAACAAUGCAGGUAAGGGAAGUCGGCA
rnacentral:rRNA from 1 species